GGCAAGACACCCAGGACUGGGAAUGGUUGUUGAUGGGAAGAUCUCUUAGCACAGGGGCCAUCUCUUCCAGGAUCUCUGCAACCCUACAGUGGGAGUGCUCUCAUCACCCUUGUGAAUGACUAUUGCAGUAUGGACUAAUAAGAAAGAGAAUGAGAACAAGGAGUGUUACAUCUUCAAGGUGGUAUGGACACAGAGAUAUCUACAUGAAAUGCCACAUCAGCCCUUCCCAGCUACCCUCUGAGACUUUGGCACAUGAUACCAGAAAGAGGAAAGAUCUCUAGAGUCAAGUCACCUACAGUCAAGACAUGGUGAAUCAUGAAAUGUAACAGAAGAUAACGUACUUCAAUUAAUGAGAGAUUAGAGACACACUGUACCUCUUUCCAAAUUUGCUUUGUAAUAGAAAAAUGGUUACUUAAUGCAGAAGGUUAUUUUGUGGAUUCUAACAAGUGAGCAAGUCAAGCCACCUUGUGAUCAUUAUCUAAUUUAACCAUGAAAAGGAUAAAGUAUAAUAGUACAUUGAUUUGUAGCAUUUCGCAACUGACAUUCUUCAAAUGAGAUG